rnacentral:lncRNA from 1 species
UAGUGUUCAAUAAGUAACUAGUAAUAACAAAAUAGAAACAUUAAAGCACUUAACUGUAAAACCCAUACUCCUUCGAUUUCUACUCCUGUAGCAUUUUUAAUUUAACUAAACUAAUAACUCAUGAUUUAAUUCAUUUAUCACAAACUAUUAUCUGUCACUGUGAUUAAUUAAAAUGAGCAAUUGGACUUCUGAAUAUUCAUUAAGAUGUUCUAGUGAGACAAUUUCAAGUCAUUUCGAAAGGGAAGAACAUCACACAAGUCAGAACCAUAUAAAUUGUAAACACACGCAUCAUAUUAAGAAGGAUGGAGUAACAAAGAAAGAAUUGGACCUUGUAUUGACGAAUCCAAAGUUACGACUCGGAAGACAAACCAGAAAAUGAUCACAAUCGAAACAACAGACGGGAAUUGAACGACCUCGAAUUCGCAGACGGACAGCUCGUCAACUUGACUCGACUAAACUCUAUCUCACACGACGGUCCAAUGCAAACAUAGAGGGAGAAGAAGAGCAGUAACUGACCGGAGGAUGAGGCGAAGAGAAGCCGAGCAAGUUCGCAGCAGUUGACCGGAGGAAGAGGUGUAGAUGUCUAGAAUGAGAAGCAAUUGAAUCGCGAGUAGAAAAGCCAAUUGAGGGAAGAAGCAAUUGAAUGGCAUUAAUGGCGUGAGG